AGGCUGAAACCCGCCUCCAUGAAGUUGGAUUCGCUAGUAAUCGCGCAUCAGCCAUGGCGCGGUGAAUACGUUCCCGGGCCUUGUACACACCGCCCGUCAAGCCAUGGAAGCUGGGGGUGCCUGAAGUUCGUGACCGGAAGGAGCGACCUAGGGCAAAACCGGUGACUGGGGCUAAGUCGUAACAAGGUACC
rnacentral:rRNA from 1 species